UCUCACUGUUGUGGCCUCUCCCGCCGCGGAGCGCAGGCUCCGGACGCGCAGGCUCCGGACGCGCAGGCUCAGCGGCCAUGGCUCACGGGCCCAGCCGCUCCGCGGCAUGUGGGAUCUUCCCGGACCGGGGCACGAACGCGUGUCCCCUGCAUCGGCAGGCGGGCUCUCAACCACUGCGCCACCAGGGAAGCCCUGGAUUAAGUAUUUAAUGAAGAUGAAAAAACAUCACCUCUUGGAUUAAAGUUACCAGCCUGCCUCCUGGUCCUCAGGCCCUGAAACUUGCCUCUCCAUCAGUUUCGCAGAGGUUUGGGUUAAACUAAAGUAUUAUGAGGGAGGCCGAGGACUCCAUGCUCCGGGCAGAGAAACGGCGCUGGGAUUAGGGAUUGCCACUUCUGAGAGGAUGCUGGGAAUCUGCAGAGGGAGACGGAAAUUCCUGGCUGCCUCAUUGACUCUGCUCUGCAUCCCAGCCGUCACCUGGCUUUACCUGUUUGCUGGGAGCUUUGACGGU